GGCUAACGCUGGCGGCGUGUCUUAGCCAUGCAAGUCGAGCGGACUUAUGGGGUAACUUAUAAGUCAGCGGCGGACGGCGGAGUAACACGUAGCUAACCUACCCUCUGGACGGGGAUAACCUACCGAAAGGUGGGCUAAUACCCGAUGUAGUCAUCCUGUAUAGGGGUGAUGAAAGGUGGGCUUCUGUUUACAAGCUCAUGCUGGAGGAGGGGGCUGCGGCCUAUCAGGUAGUUGGUAGGGUAAUAGCCUACCAAGCCGAUGACGGGUAGCCGGCCUGAGAGGGUGACCGGCCCGAGGGGCACUGAGAUACGGGUCCCACUCCUACGGGAGGCAGCAGGCUAGAAAUUUGGGCAAGUGGGGGAAACCCUGACCCAGUGACGCCGCGUGCAGGAAGGAGCCCUUCGGGGUGUAAACUGCUGUCGUGUAGGGAGAAGGGUACUAAGGUGAACAAUCUUAGUACUUGACGGUACUACAGGAGGAAGCCCGAGGACUAACCUCGUCG
rnacentral:rRNA from 1 species